CAGCAUCCAUGAGUCCCACAUCUUCGAGCUGCUGGUGGAGGUGACGGACAGCCUCAGCGCGCCACGCCACAGCACCACAGCCACACUGGUCGUGCACGUGACGCCCUGGGCCACUACCACUCCCAGCACCACCACUACGCGCACAACCCUGCAGAAGAAGCCGCUAGUUGUCACCCGCAUCGAGCGGUUCUGGGCACCCUCGCCCUGGUUCGUGGCGGUGCUGACCGUCUCCAUGGUGCUGCUGCUGGUGGCGCUGGCAUGGCUGUCAUGGAAACUCCUGUGCAGGGCCUCGUCAGACUCACAUGUGGCAAAGAACAACGCAGCCCCGGGAGAGCUGGACAAGGAGACAGGCCGCGCCAGCGUCCUCAGCCUGCAGGAGCAGUUUGAUGGCCGUGCCCAGGACCCCA
rnacentral:lncRNA from 1 species